rnacentral:rRNA from 1 species
UACGUAGGGGGCGAGCGUUAUCCGGAUUCAUUGGGCGUAAAGCGCGCGUAGGCGGCCUGUUAGGUCGGGGGUCAAAUACCGGGGCUCAACCCCGGUCCGCCCCCGAUACCGGCAGGCUUGAGUGUGGUAGGGGAAGGCGGAAUUCCCGGUGUAGCGGUGGAAUGCGCAGAUAUCGGGAAGAACACCGGUGGCGAAGGCGGCCUUCUGGGCCAUCACUGACGCUGAGGCACGAAAGCGUGGGGAGCAAAUAGG